AGUGGCUGCAUGGAAUGCUGGGAGAGGGAGGCCUGUGCAGCUGUGACUGUCCAUGAAUUUUCUAUGAGGAAAGCUCAGCGGAGUCCAGCCAAAUUUGAGCUGCUUUGCUGUGGCCUUGGGUAUUCAGAUAUCCAGAAAUGAACAUGGGAAAUGUUUGAGCUUGAUGCAAGUGGAACCACAAGAGAAGACCCCCAACAUUGAUGUUGGGCUCAACUGGACAAAGUGGAGUGGACAAGGAAGAUGCCUCAGUGGCCAGUGAGCCAUUGUGGAAGCUCCUGGCCAGAACAAGAGAAGUGUCUCACUGUCAAGAUGCCCCAGGCAACAGAGAGGAACACUACGAGUGAGUAAAUCGUCUUCAGCCCAUGGAGGUCUGCAGCCCUAGAUGAGACCUACGGUAGCAGGGUCUCUUCCCCGCUGCUGGACAAGGCAAGACCCAGCCUGUGAUGAAAACCAUUGGCCUAAUCCUACUCGUAGGCAGGAUGCAGAGGCAGAAUAAAACCCAAGUUAUCCCUAUUUCUUACAGUAAAGACUUCCAUGCAAGUGUUUUUCUGUACUAUAUGGUACCUGGGGCUACUUGUGCUGCUACUGUUUUUUGUUUUGUGGAUGAUAGUUCAAAUUCCAAAAUGACUAUCUUUGUUUCCAUGGCACAACUCACAGUAACAGCGUGACAACUGCAAGGCUUGCAAAGGUAAAGCUAAUCUCCUCAUCUGUGUUUUUCAGUCCUCUCAGCCAUGUUUUAGUAUGUACUCUUGGGUCUUUAGUGGGGGUUGGGGGGGAGGUUUCAUUUAGAUAAUACUACAUUUCAUUCAUGUUUUGAGACUUGGAUAAUUUGGGGUGGUUUGCACACUGUAAAUAAUUGUGAACUGUAAAACCUGCAAGGCUUUCUAUAAGUACUAAAACAAUUAUUUGCUUCCCAAUUUAUCCACCUAGCUAACAGUGGCAUUAAAUUAUACUGAUGUUGUAUAAUCUAGUUUUUACUUCUGUAAACUGUACCAUGGAUGUAUAGUGUUGCAGUGUGAGAUCCUGUAUUUAGUGG